GUCUCAGUGGUGUAGUGGUUUAAUACUUCCAAUGUUGUUGUUAUUAGGUUGUGAGUUCAAUUCCCGCCUGGGACA
rfam:Sphaerobolus stellatus SS14 unplaced genomic scaffold SPHSTscaffold_91, whole genome shotgun sequence.